AUUGAACGCUGGCGGCAUGCCUUACACAUGCAAGUCGAACGGCAGCACGGGUGCUUGCACCUGGUGGCGAGUGGCGAACGGGUGAGUAAUACAUCGGAACAUGUCCUGUAUUGGGGAAUAGCCCGGCGAAAGCCGGAUUAAUACCGCAUACGAUCUACGGAUGAAAGCGGGGGACCUUCGGGCCUCGCGCUAUAGGGUUGGCCGAUGGCUGAUUAGCUAGUUGGUGGGGUAAAGGCCUACCAAGGCGACGAUCAGUAGCUGGUCUGAGAGGACGACCAGCCACACUGGGACUGAGACACGGCCCAGACUCCUACGGGAGGCAGCAGUGGGGAAUUUUGGACAAUGGGCGAAAGCCUGAUCCAGCAAUGCCGCGUGUGUGAAGAAGGCCUUCGGGUUGUAAAGCACUUUUGUCCGGAAAGAAAUCCUUGGCCCUAAUACGGUCGGGGGAUGACGGUACCGGAAGAAUAAGCACCGGCUAACUACGUG
rnacentral:rRNA from 1 species